GCUUUACAGUUGAAAGAUCAAACCCGAGCCACUCGCAGCGCGAUCUGUACCUGAAGAAACCAUGGCCAGCAUCGCCGCCAGGUCCGUCUUUCGCUCCGCCACAGCCUCCGCCCGGACCGCCGCAACCAGACUGGCAACCGGAGCGAAGCCUAAGACCUCCGCCUCUCCUUUUCGCAUCCCCACUCAGAAGCCCCUCACUGCUCGCAUCUUCAGGUCUCCGUUGGAGUUGAGCUGUGUUAGAUUAGAGACUAUGCUGCCGUAUCACACAGCGACGGCCUGUGCUUUGCUCAAUUCCAUGCUCUCAGUCGCUCCUCGGAGCCGUGGUUGGAGUCUUGAAGAUUGCAAUGAUGAUGCCUGAUAAAUGCCAAAGGAUUGGAAUGAAGUUUUACAUCCAUGCACUCUAGGAGAUUGUCUGACAAAUGGAUGAUUGUUAGAUGUGUUGGAAAAUCGGAAACCAUUCACGUCUUCUUCAUAGUACCAUGGAUGUCAAUGGACAAUGUAUUACUACACAGCCUGUGGCAUUAUAGUUUCUGUUUGGUUCCCAUAUCAAAGCUAUAAGGUUUUUUGUUCUUUCAUUUGAAAAUGAUGCACAUGUUUCUUUGACAAAAAUAAUACAUCUGUAAGUUUAGUUUCAUUGUGCAUCUAGUCUAGUCUCUAGACAGAUAGAUAGCAGCAUUAGCCUAUGUUAGUCAAAUUGGGUUAAUCAUGAUUCCUGAUAUUUUAUUGUUGUAUAAGUUUCAACUAAUUUGGUGUCCAGUUACUCUCUCAUCUGACAUCUAAACAAGACUUCUUUCUGGACAAGUUUUACUCAUUAGUCUCGAAUACAACACAUUAUUGUUUAUGGAGAA